rnacentral:rRNA from 1 species
GACGAACGCUGGCGGCGUGCUUAACACAUGCAAGUCGAACGGAAAGGCCCUGCUUUUGUGGGGUGCUCGAGUGGCGAACGGGUGAGUAACACGUGAGUAACCUGCCCUUGACUGUGGGAUAACUUCAGGAAACUGGGGCUAAUACCGGAUAGGAGCUCCUGCUGCACGGUGGGGGUUGGAAAGUUUCGGCGGUUGGGGAUGGACUCGCGGCUUAUCAGCUUGUUGGUGGGGUAGUGGCUUACCAAGGCUUUGACGGGUAGCCGGCCUGAGAGGGUGACCGGCGACAUUGGUACUGAGAUACGGCCCAGAAUCCUACGGGAGGCAGCAGUGGGGAAUAUUGCACAAUGGGCGGAAGCCUGAUGCAGCAACGCCGCGUGCGGGAUGACGGCCUUCGGGUUGUAAACCGCUUUCGCCUGUGACGAAGCGUGAGUGACGGUAAUGGGUAAAGAAGCACCGGCUAACUACGUG